ACGCUGGCGGCAGGCUUAACACAUGCAAGUCGAACGGUAACAGGGAUUAGCUUGCUAAUUUGCUGACGAGUGGCGGACGGGUGAGUAAUGCUUGGGAAUCUGGCUUAUGGAGGGGGAUAACUACGGGAAACUGUAGCUAAUACCGCGUAAAAUCUUCGGAUUAAAGGGUGGGACUUUCGAGCCACCUGCCAUAAGAUGAGCCCAAGUGGGAUUAGGUAGUUGGUUAGGUAAAGGCUGACCAAGCCGACGAUCUCUAGCUGGUCUGAGAGGAUGACCAGCCACACUGGAACUGAGACACGGUCCAGACUCCUACGGGAGGCAGCAGUGGGGAAUAUUGCACAAUGGGGGGAACCCUGAUGCAGCCAUGCCGCGUGAAUGAAGAAGGCCUUCGGGUUGUAAAGUUCUUUCGGUGACGAGGAAGGUUGAUAGGUUAAUAGCCUAUCAAAUUGACGUUAAUCACAGAAGAAGCACCGGCUAACUCCGUGCCAGCAGCCGCGGUAAUACGGGGGGUGCGAGCGUUAAUCGGAAUAACUGGGCGUAAAGGGCACGCAGGCGGUGACUUAAGUGAGAUGUGAAAGCCCCGGGCUUAACCUGGGAAUUGCAUUUCAUACUGGGUCGCUAGAGUACUUUAGGGAGGGGUAGAAUUCCACGUGUAGCGGUGAAAUGCGUAGAGAUGUGGAGGAAUACCGAAGGCGAAGGCAGCCCCUUGGGAAUGUACUGACGCUCAUGUGCGAAAGCGUGGGGAGCAAACAGGAUUAGAUACCCUGGUAGUCCACGCUGUAAACGAUGUCGAUUUGGGGAUUGGGCUUUGAGCUUGGUGCCCGUAGCUAACGUGAUAAAUCGACCGCCUGGGGAGUACGGCCGCAAGGUUAAAACUCAAAUGAAUUGACGGGGGCCCGCACAAGCGGUGGAGC
rnacentral:rRNA from 1 species